rnacentral:rRNA from 1 species
GGCGGCGUGCCUAAUACAUGCAAGUCGAGCGGACGGAUGGGAGCUUGUUCCCUGAAGUCAGCGGCGGACGGGUGAGUAACACGUGGGCAACCUGCCUGUAAGACUGGGAUAACUUCGGGAAACCGGAGCUAAUACCGGAUAAUGCACAGCCUCUCAUGAGGCUAUGCUGAAAGAUGGUUUCGGCUAUCACUUACAGAUGGGCCCGCGGCGCAUUAGCUAGUUGGUGAGGUAACGGCUCACCAAGGCAACGAUGCGUAGCCGACCUGAGAGGGUGAUCGGCCACACUGGGACUGAGACACGGCCCAGACUCCUACGGGAGGCAGCAGUAGGGAAUCUUCCGCAAUGGACGAAAGUCUGACGGAGCAACGCCGCGUGAGUGAUGAAGGUUUUCGGAUCGUAAAACUCUGUUGUCAGGGAAGAACAAGUGCCGGAGUAACUGCCGGCACCUUGACGGUACCUGACCAGAAAGCCACGGCUAACUACGUGCCAGCA